UACGUAGGGGGCAAGCGUUGUCCGGAUUUAUUGGGCGUAAAGAGCGUGUAGGCGGCUGGGUAGGUCCGUUGUGAAAACUCGAGGCUCAACCUUGAGACGCCGAUGGAAACCCUCCAGCUAGAGUCCGGAAGAGGAGAGUGGAAUUCCUGGUGUAGCGGUGAAAUGCGCAGAUAUCAGGAAGAACACCCGUGGCUAAGGCGGCUCUCUAGUACGGUACUGACGCUGAGACGCGAAAGCGUGGGGAGCGAACAGG
rnacentral:rRNA from 1 species